AGGGAUGUAGUUAAGCAUAACAUUUGGUUUGCAUCCAAAAGGUACUAAAAUUAGUCUUCCUUA
rnacentral:tRNA from 1 species